GGCACAAACCUUAAAUCCCAGCACUCAGGAUGGAGAGACCGGCAGAUCUCGGAGUUUCAGGCUAGUUAGAACUACGCAGUAAGACCCCGUCUCAAAAACAAACAAACGAGCAAGAAGACGAAAAAGGAGGAGGAAGAGAACUAAGUGCCAAGAACUGGAAGAGGAAGUAUGUUGCUGCGCUGCAGAGUUGCCGUGGCAAUGGGUCAGCAGCAGAAAGAAACAGGUUCUGCCCUCAACAGACCAUCUGUUAGGAAGGGACCUUAAAUCUCCAAGAAAGGAAGUCUCUAGAGAUAGGACAUUCCAUUCUGUUGGAGUUUAAAUUUGGUCCCAGAGCAACAAGACCUGCUUUGGAGCCUCCAAACCUCAGGACUCCACAGUUCUCAAAAAGACAGCCGAACGGCUUCCUGGAAUCCCGUGUGAGCUGUCAGCUCUGCAGCAGUGUAAAGAUGCUGGAGCAUCCUCCAACCGCAAGCCAAGGACCACAAAGCCUUGCGUAUCACCUUGGCUUUCUUACAGUGAGUGGGUGAUUGAAAUGACAGACUCUCAGCCCAUGUGCUUAACUGCUUGAGGUUAGACCUGGGGAGACUGGGCUAAGGGAGAGAUGAUGCAAACCCACUUACAAGGAGAAUGGCCUUGAGUUCUGAGUGACCUUGGGGUGGGCAGCCUGGUCGUCAGAGUAAGCCAGUGGACUUUAUGUCUUUUUUUUUUUCUUUUUCUUUUUUAAUUGGACAUUUUCUUUAUUUACAUUUCAGAUAUUAUCCCCUUUCCUGGUUUCCCCUCCGGAAAAGCAACCUCCCCACUCUUCCCACUCACCAACCCACCCACUCCUGCUUCCUGGUCCUGGCAUUCCCCCACACUGGGGCACAGAGCCUUCUUAGGACCAAGGGCUUCUCCUCCCACUGAUAUCCGACUAGGCCAUCCUCUACUGCAUAUGCAGCUGAAGCCAUGAGUCCCACCAUGUGUGCUCUUUGGUUGGUGGUUAGUCCCGGGAGCUCUGGGGGUACUGGUUAGUUCAUAUUGUUGUUCCUCCCAUGGGGCUGCAAACCCCUUCAGCUCCUUGGGUCCUUUUUCUAGCUCCUCCAUUGGGGACCCUGUACUCAGUCCAAUGGAUGGCUAUGAGCAUCCACUUCUGUAUUUGUGAGGCACUGGCAGAGCCUCUCAGGAGAGAGCUAUAUCAGGCUCCUGUCAGCAAGCACUUGUUGGCAUCCACAAUAGUGUCUGUUUUUGGUGGUUGUUUAUGGGAUGAAUCCCCAGGUGGGGCAGUCUCUGGAUGAUCAUUCAUUCAGUCUCUACUCCAUACUUUGUCUCUGUAACUCCUUCCAUGGGUGUUUUGUUCCCCUUUCUAAGAUGCAUUGAAGUAUCCACACUUCGGUCUUUCUUCUUCUUGAGUUUCAUAUGGUUUGUGAAUUGUAUCUUGGGUAUUCCAAACUUCUGGGCUUCUUAUCACCACUUAUCAGUGAGUGCAUAUCAUGUGGGUUCUUUUGUGACUGGGUUACCUCACUCACGAUGAUAUCCUCCAGAUCCAUCCAUUUGCCUACAAAUUUCAUAAAUUUAUUGUUUUUAAUAGCCGAGUAGUACUCCAUUGUGUAAACUUACCACAUUUUCUGCAUCCAUUCCUCUGUUGAGGGACAUCUGGGUUCUUUCCAGCUUCUGGCUAUUAUAAAUAAGGCUGCUAUGAA
rnacentral:lncRNA from 1 species